rnacentral:rRNA from 1 species
GUAGGGUGCAAGCGUUAAUCGGGAAUUACUGGGGCGUAAAGCGUGCGCAGGCGGUUAUAUAAGACAGAUGUGAAAUCCCCCGGGGGCUCAACCUGGGAACUGCAUUUGUGACUGUAUAGCUAGAGUACGGCAGACGGGGGAUGGAAUUCCGCGUGUAGCAGUGAAAUGCGUAGAUAUGCGGAGGAACACCGAUGGCGAAGGCAAUCCCCUGGGCCUGUACUGACGCUCAUGCACGAAAGCGUGGGGAGCAAACAGGAUUAGAUACCCUGGUAGUCCACGCCCUAAACGAUGUCAACUGGUUGUUGGGUCUUCACUGACCCAGUAACGAAGCUAACGCGUGAAGUUGACCGCCUGGGGAGUACGGCCGCAAGGUUG